rnacentral:rRNA from 1 species
UACGGAGGGUGCAAGCGUUAUCCGGAUUCACUGGGUUUAAAGGGUGCGUAGGUGGGUUGGUAAGUCAGUGGUGAAAUCCCUCGGCUUAACCGGGGAACUGCGUCUGAUACUGGAUGGCUUGAGUUUGGGAGAGGGAUGCGGAAUUCCAGGUGUAGCGGUGAAAUGCGUAGAUAUCUGGAGGAACACCGGUGGCGAAGGCGGCAUCCUGGACCAACACUGACACUGAGGAGCGAAAGCCAGGGGAGCAAACGGG